rnacentral:rRNA from 1 species
GAAUUUAUCAUUGACACUCCUGAGAAACUGAAAGCUAAGCUGGAGAUGGUUGAAGCCCUUGGUGAGAUUGAGAUUGCGACCAGGCUUCUGGAAGACAAUCAAAGCGAUCGGGACGAUCCUUUGUAUGCUCGAUACAAGCAGCUUCAUUGUGACUUUACACCUCUGGAAGUUGAUUCGGAAGAAUACUCCAUGAUAAAAACAUAUUUGACGAACACGCAUGCCAAAAGGCAAUCCGGUUAUACGGUCAACAUCGAGCAGGUAUUUAAGGUGACAUGGCAGGGCGAAACAGAGCGGUUUCAGAAGUUCAUCGGCGCUGGGAACAGGAUGCUUCUAUGGCAUGGUUCUCGGUUGACCAACUGGACCGGGAUAUUUUCUUGGGGUUUGCGAAUUGCUCCUCCUGAAGCGCCUAGCACCGGCUACAUGUUUGGGAAAGGGGUUUACUUUGCUGACAUGUUCUCCAAGAGUGCAAACUACUGCUAUCCUUCACAAGCAUCUAGAUCUGGAGUGCUGCUUCUAUGCGAGGUUGCGCUAGGCGAGAUGAACGAGCUACUAGAUGGCGAUAUAAAUGCUAAUAACCUGCCCGAGGGUAAACUAAGCACGAAGGGGGUUGGGAAGACGGCACCAGACAUGGCAGAGUCCAAGAUCACCGAUGACGGCAUGGUUGUUCCGCUCGGGAAACCUAAGAAGGCGUCCCGCGAUAACGGCGUCCUUUACUACAACGAGUACAUAGUGUACAACUUGGACCAGAUCAGGAUGCGGUAUGUCCUCCAUGUUUCCUUCAACUACAAACAGUAG